CCUCUGCUUGUCAAAAGGCAGCCGCGCCGCCAGACCUCGCAGCCGGGAAUGCGGAGCAGCGCGCCCACCCGCCAGACCAGACAGUGGAGGAGCUUGUGUCCGUGUCAACAAUUGGAAAGCCCGGUUUUGAUCACUCCAGCUCCAAGCCCACUGAGCUAGGCCCCACUCCUAGGCUUCCCUUCUCCACGGGGCUCCUUGGGGGCCACAUCCUUCCUGCCCUGUCUGCUCCUCAGCCUCGGACGGUGAGCGGG